rnacentral:rRNA from 1 species
GUAAGGAACUUGCCUCUUGGACUGGGACAACUGUUGGAAACGACAGCUAAUACCGGAUAUUAUGAGAUUCUCGCAUGAGAAACUUAUGAAAGCUAUAUGCGCCAAGAGAGAGCCUUGCGUUCCAUUAGCUAGUUGGUGGGGUAACGGCCCACCAAGGCGACGAUGGAUAGCCGGCCUGAGAGGGUGAACGGCCACAAGGGGACUGAGACACGGCCUUACUCCUACGGGAGGCAGUGGGGAAUAUUGGACAAUGGACCAAAAGUCUGAUCCA